rnacentral:rRNA from 1 species
AUUGAACGCUGGCGGCAGGCCUAACACAUGCAAGUCGAACGAGCGGCGGACGGGUGAGUAAUGUCUGGGAAACUGCCUGAUGGAGGGGGAUAACUACUGGAAACGGUAGCUAAUACCGCAUACCAUCAGAUGUGCCCAGAUGGGAUUAGCUAGUAGGUGGGGUAAUCGCUCACCUAGGCGACGAUCCCUAGCUGGUCUGAGAGGAUGACCAGCAACACUGGAACUGAGCCACGGUCCAGACUCCUACGGGAGGCAGCAGGGGUGAAUAUUGCACAAUGGGCGCAAGCCUGAUGCAGCCAUGCCGCGUGUGUGAAGAAGGCCUUCGGGUUGUAAAGCACUUGCAGCGAGGAGGCGUUACUCGCAGAAGAAGCACCGGCUAACGCCGUGGCAGCAGCCGCGGUAAUUC